rnacentral:pre_miRNA from 1 species
UCUUACAGAUGAACAAAGAAGGUGGUUUCCUGGGAGGGAAUCUACUCCCGGUGAAGAUGUCAUGAA